CAACAGGAAUUUCUUUUCUCAAGGUUCUGGAGGCUGGAAGUCCAAGAUCAAGGUGCCUGCAGGUUUGGUUUCUCCUGAAGCCUCUCUCCUUGGCUUGCAGAUGGCCGUCUUCUCCCUGUGUCCUCACGUGGCCUUUU
rnacentral:miRNA from 1 species